rnacentral:rRNA from 1 species
AACUCGACUGCACGAAGCUGGAAUCGCUAGUAAUCGCGGAUCAGCACGCCGCGGUGAAUACGUUCCCGGGCCUUGUACACACCGCCCGUCACACCAUGGAAGUCUGCAAUGCCCGAAGCCGGUGGCCUAACCACUUAUGUGGAAGGAGCCGUCUAAGGCAGGGCAGAUGACUGGGGUGAAGUCGUAACAAGGUACC